GAUGAAGAACGCAGCAAAAUGCGAUAAGUAAUGUGAAUUGCAGAAUUCAGUGAAUCAUCGAAUCUUUGAACGCACAUUGCGCCCGCCAGUAUUCUGGCGGGCAUGCCUGUUCGAGCGUCAUUUCAACCCUCAAGCACAGCUUGGUGUUGGGACUCGCGUUAAUUCGCGUUCCCCAAAUUGAUUGGCGGUCACGUCGAGCUUCCAUAGCGUAGUAGUAAAACCCUCGUUACUGGUAAUCGUCGCGGCCACGCCGUUAAACCCGAACUUCUGAAUGUUGACCUCGGAUCAGGUAGGAAUACCCGCUGAACUUAAGCAUAUCAAUAAGCGGAGGA
rnacentral:misc_RNA from 1 species